UGGGGAAUAUUGCACAAUGGGCGAAAGCCUGAUGCAGCGACGCCGCGUGAGGGAUGACGGCCUUCGGGUUGUAAACCUCUUUCAGUAGGGACGAAGCGCAAGUGACGGUACCUGCAGAAGAAGCACCGGCUAACUACGUGCCAGCAGCCGCGGUAAUACGUAGGGUGCGAGCGUUGUCCGGAAUUACUGGGCGUAAAGAGCUCGUAGGCGGUUUGUCACGUCGUCUGUGAAAUCCUAGGGCUUAACCCUGGACGUGCAGGCGAUACGGGCUGACUUGAGUACUACAGGGGAGACUGGAAUUUCUGGUGUAGCGGUGGAAUGCAAAGAUAUCAGGAAGAACACCGAUGGCGAAGGCAGGUCUCUGGGUAGUAACUGACGCUGAGGAGCGAAAGCAUGGGUAGCGAACAGG
rnacentral:rRNA from 1 species